rnacentral:rRNA from 1 species
UACGAAGGGGGCUAGCGUUGCUCGGAAUCAACUGGGCGUAAAGGGUGCGUAGGCGGGUCUUUAAGUCAGGGGUGAAAUCCUGGAGCUCAACUCCAGAACUGCCUUUGAUACUGAAGAUCUUGAGUUCGGAGAGGUGAGUGGGAACUGCGAGUGUAGAGGUGAAAAUUCGUAGAUAUUCGCAAGAACACCAGUGGCGAAGGCGGACUCACCUGGCCCGAUACUGACGCUGAGGCACGAAAGCGUGGGGAGCAAACA